rnacentral:piRNA from 1 species
AGCAUGAGGAUUACUACCCAAGGUUGG